rnacentral:rRNA from 1 species
UGGCUCAGGACGAACGCUGGCGGCGUGCCUAACACAUGCAAGUCGAACGGACGAGAGGAGCUUGCUCCUCAAGUUAGUGGCGGACGGGUGAGUAACACGUGAGCAACCUGCCCUUCGGAGGGGGACAACAGCUGGAAACGGCUGCUAAUACCGCAUGACACAGCGGGGAGGCAUCUCUCUGCUGUCAAAGAUUUUAUCGCCGAAGGAUGGGCUCGCGUCUGAUUAGAUAGUUGGUGAGGUAACGGCCCACCAAGUCAACGAUCAGUAGCCGGACUGAGAGGUUGAACGGCCACAUUGGGACUGAGAUACGGCCCAGACUCCUACGGGAGGCAGCAGUGGGGAAUAUUGGGCAAAUGGGGGCAACCCUGACCCAGCAACGCCGCGUGAAGGAAGAAGGCUUUCGGGUUGUAAACUUCUUUGACGAGGGACGAUAGUGACGGUACCUCGAAAACAAGCCACGGCUAACUACGUGCCAGCCGCCGC